rnacentral:rRNA from 1 species
GACGAACGCUGGCGGCGUGCUUAACACAUGCAAGUCGAACGGAAAGGCCCUGCUUUUGUGGGGUGCUCGAGUGGCGCACGGGGGAGUAACACGUGAGUAACCUGCCCUUGCCUUUGGGAUCACUUCAGGAAACUGGGGCUAAUACCGGAUAGGAGCUCCUGCUGCAUGGUGUGGGUUGGAAGGUUUCGGCGGUUGGGGUUGGACUCGCGGGUUAUCAGCUUGUUGGUGGGGUAGUGGCUUAGCAAGGCGUUGACGGGUAGGCGGACGGGGAGGGUGGCCGGCCACAUUGCCACUGAUAUACGGCCCAGCAUCCUACGGGAGGAAGCAGUGGGGAGUAUUGCACAAUGGGCGGGAGCCUGAUGCAGCAACGCCGCGUGCGGGAUGACGGCCUUCGGGUUGUAAACCGCUUUCGCCUGUGACGAAGCGUGAGUGACGGUAAUGGGUAAAGAAGCACCGGCUAACUACGUG